UCCUCGUAUAAAGAGCUAACAGAAAAUAAAUAAAAAUAAUUAUUUACAGCUGACAUAGCAGUCUUUUGAAAUAAAAAAAAAUAUGUUAUGACACUCAAAAAAAUUUUUGUUGUCAUUUUUGUCCUAUUAACUAAAUAGAAUGAGUUGCAACAAUUUUGUCCCAUUUUCAAAGAAAGAAUAAGCGAAACCGAGGAUCAAAAAAUAGAAGGAAAUGGCGAAGGAAAAGAUAAAUCAUGAUGAGAAUUGUUAUUAUGGAAUGAGAGCUCAUAUUCACACAUCUUGGACCGGUACAAAUCUAAGAAGAAGAUUUCUUAGAUGUAACAGAUACGGGGUUUGUCUCUCUAUCUCACUCCCAUAUUUAUUCUAUUUGUUCUGUAUAUAUUUGAAUCAACUUUUAUCUAUUUAUUUUGUAUCAUGCUUAAAUCAACUUUUAUGAGCAUAUGUUUGAAUUCUUGUGCGAUCAUAUUUGUUCUGUAGAUGAGCAUAUUUAGGAUGAGGGAUGGGACUUUAACGCGACGUUAGUAAAAAAUUGAAUCUUUUAAAUGCAAGGCUCAUAUUUGAAUUUUUGCUUUAAAUUUUUUUCUUCUGAUCUAUAAAACAUCAAGGCAAAACAAAUUAAUUUAAGGUCUAUCCAUAAUAAUAUUGUAAGAUUUUUCGAUUAUGCUACAGAUGGUAUAUUCUUUAUAUGAUUAUUAUCAGCAACACAUAAGGACUAAUUCUAAUUAUUUGUCAGCAACACUUUUCUAACCAAUUCCACUAAAGGUGAAGAACUUGUACCAAAGAUAGACAUCAUUGUCUAAGAACUGAUUGCCAUUAAACCAUGGUUUGUAAGUAAAAAACAAAAUAUUCUAUCAUAAAGAAUAUAAAUAAAAAUAAUAAUAAAUAAUAGAGUGAAUUUUGAUGCAUGCACCUUGCAACAGGACCAUAAAAUUCAUAUUGUCAAAUAAUUUUUUUUACCUCUAUUUUUUUCGAAUAUUUGUUGCAAAAGUUGCUGGUUUCGUUACUAAUAGAGAUAUUUUUGGUUUGAUGAUUACAUUUUUUUUUUUUUAAUUUUUAUUGGUGGGGGGUGCAUGUAUUGAGAUAUAAGCAAUAUCUUAGCAUAUUCUGUUAGCCUCCAUCCAUGGGGACUAACAAAAAGACUUAAUUAAGACUAAAAGAAAAUUUAAGGAAUUUGGUUGCUACAAUUAAAACUAGAGGGAGUAAAGUGAAAUCUAGGGUAAACUAGAGGGAUUAAUAUGAGGUUUACCGCGCCCACAAUAAAAAAAUUAUCCCAAAUUCCGCGAUCGAUUGAAGAUUUCCACCGGCGAUUUCUUAUUCUCUGCGACGUGUUGAGCUGUUGUUGAGCUGGUCCAACAUGACGUGGUGGACCUGGUUCAACCAAUAAUUUUUCCGUUCUUACAACCACAGUCAAGUGAAGUGUCGGUCUUCCACCCUUCCCCACUCCCCAUUCUCACCUCCCUUUAUAUACACCUCCAUAUCCCUUCUUCCUUCCUCCUCCGCCUCCCUCUUUCACCAGCCCCUCUUCCUUUCUACCAGCCAGCGGGCGGGAGUUCUCGGGUCCCCGAGAUCUCGCCGGAAUUCUCCCCGUGAUCGCCAUAAUCUGCUAGCAUCUGGCGUUGAUCUCGCCGGAACCAUGGCUUCCGGCAGAUACAUGCCCUACUCCCCCUCCCCCUCCACCGCUCCUCAGUCCCCUCACAUCUCCGGCAUACGCUCCGCCACAAGCGCGUUCGUCGAGCAGGAGAAGUAGGCCUCUUCCUUCCGCCUAAAACCCCGAGUUUUGGUUUGGAACGAAUAACCUCUAAUCUUGUGCUUUCCUCUCAUCUUUCUUGUUUUUCCAAUUAUUUUGCGAAUAGAUCCAUGGAGUUGCGGAUCUUUCUCGUUUCUUUAGUAGCAGUUGCUUGCUAUUAAAAAUUUGAUCUUGUUGCGAUCUACGCAUGUUAAUCGUGUUUUGAAAUUUGACCGUCGGUGUUCUGGCUUUAUUGCAUUUGUUGAUGCAAAGUGAUCGCAGAUCACGGGCAAAAAUAUUUGCAGCUCUUUCGUGCUCAUUAGUCUUGCAUCGCUGUUGUUUUCAGUUGCGUUUAACUGCGUUUUUCUGUAUCUAAUGGAAAAUAGAUGGUUUUGGUGAACUCCGUAAAUUGGAAACACUUGGUUUGGGAGAUGAAUUUCCUGUUUUAAGUCUUUGAGAUGGUUGAUUAGCAAGAUAUGAUUUUUAUGGUUUCCUAUGUGAGAUUCCCUGGUUUGAUGCUUUUCUUUUGCGAGAUCUGUUACUUCUUAUUGAAAUGAAUGCUGGCAUAGAUGGCUUCUUUGUAUUGAUAUUUUCUUUCUCUUUUUAAUAUAUUUUCAAGGAUCUACCUCUGACCUUGUGAGCAAUGUUUGAGUUAUGUGCUCUAUCAAUCAGGAUCCUUAGUCUGGGAGCUGAAUUCCUUGUGUGUCAGGACUUUGGAACGGUUUAUUAGCAGGAUUUAAUUUUUAUUUUUUUCUUGUCUGAGAUUCGCUAGUUUUAUGCUUUUCUUUUAUAAGAUUGACACUUCUGAUUGAAAUGAACUUUGGUUGGAUGGCUUCUUUUUCUAAUGUGCUUGUGAAGGAUCUAAAUUUUGGGGCAUUUGUGAGCAUUUUGAGUUUUGAAUUCCUUUGCAUACAUUUAUUAAAUAAUUUUAUAUUUGCAAUCCCAUCUGCUUCUAUUGAUUAUGGUGAGAUCUGUGAGUUAUUGUUUCAAGCUGCUAAAGGGAAAUAUUUUUAAGUUCUAUUUUCAUAUACAAUGACAACUUCUUGUGUAGUUGUGUCAAGCAUCAUGAAGAAGGCUUUCAAUUAUGAUGCCACGAGUCACUUUACGUGGCAGAAGAAAAAUAGAAACUGAUAAAGAUGCCCCAUUUUUGUGCAUGCAUUUUUAUUAUUCUUAUAAUAACUAAAUAAAGAUAGAUCCAAGGAAUCAAAUAUCGGUGUGGGCUGGUCUAUACUAGCCAUACCAAUGUGUGUCGGUCCGUAUUGGUUGUACUGGAUCAUAUCGAUAUGAUACCUGUAUCCAUACAAGGGGCUUAAAAGUACCACAUUGACACGUGGUGUUUCACAUCCAAUUUGUCAUUGCAACACAUAGAGGUAUUGUACUAGUCUGUAUCAUACUAAUAAGGUACUGAUGUGGGUACCAAUACUAGUGCUUUAAUCCUUAGAUAUAUCUAAGGCCAGAGCAUCUAUUGAAGAGACAAUUUGAAUUUAAUUUAAUUUUUUUCUGGGUGCUUAUUAGUCUUGCAUGAGUGCUUUUUUCUUCAUUUACCGUCAAUUGUAUGUACAUAUUUUAGCUAUCUAAUAGAAUGAUAGAUGAUAAAAUGGAGUUAUAGACGUCAAUUGUAUGUGCAUAUUUUACUGUCAGUUGUUAUUAUUAAUAUUGAUAUCAUUGUCAAAAAUAUUACUAUCUUUAUUAUUGUUUUAUUGUGCUGAGUGUAUUUUAUUAGUUAAAACAUACUAACAAUAUAUUGCGUCUGCAUAUGCAGCCCACAUAUUGCACUAGUGCUAUGCGAUCCCUUGAUCAGUCACAUGUCACAGCCACUUUAAACUAUUGCAUGUAAUAUCUAGAGAGAUGUAAAACUAUAAAGCAUCUGCAAAAGAUUUCUUUUAUUAGCUUCAAAAAAUAUUUCCUCAAAGAAAGUAAACUUUUUUUUUUUUUUCAAAAUUUCAUUUUGUUCACAUUGUUGAGCAUAUAAAUUCUUUGUUUACUUCAAAUUUUGAAUAUUCUCUUUAUUUACUAUUUGAUGAAGCAAGGACAGCUUGGUGUUACUUAAAAGUUGAAAUCUGAAAUAUGAAAAAACUAUAAAAUACAAUAUUGUUGUGAGACAUUUUUCAUUUAAUAAUUACAUUUGCUCUAGGAUUGGACAACCUUUCUUUCAUCAUUAAAGAACUAUGAAUGAUCUUAAGGAACCUAUUGGUUAUUUGAUCAAUCAUAUGGAGAAAUGUUUUAUUGCAGAACUAUCAAUUCAUUCCCAUAUUUGUGAUGUAUUGUGUUACCUGGACACCUGCAUCUGACUUCAAAAAUCCAUAUCCAACAUGUAUUCAAGUUGGAUAUGUGUUUGACACUUGGAUACUUAUGAAUACUUAUGAAUAUCUAUGAUUGUCACCUUUAAAGAUUGGUAAAAAGUUAAACUCUUCCAACAAUGAGUUUGAUCCUCUCCGUAUUCAUUAUUUUUAGUGAUUGACCAAGAAUUUUAGUAUUGAAAUAACUUUGCAGAUGUUGUUUUGAAUGAGAAAUAUGUAUAUUGAAAGAACUUAACAAACAAUAUCUUAAUAUUUAUUUUUAAUAUUAAACAAACAAUAUAAAAUGUACUAGUAUUUAUGGUUAAGUUAAAAUUAAAAUUUAUCCUAUGUAUCCUUGUAUCUCCUUUUUCCUUGUUGUUGAGUCAGAUGCUUGGAUAUGCAUCCAAAUCCGAUUCUCAUAUCCAUGUCCAUGCAACAUUGGUCAUGUGAUGUUGUAGAAGGACUCUCGAUGGUACUGCUAGGUUAUAAAAGGAGUGACAAUGAUGUUUGGAAUCAAAGGGUUAUGGGGGCAAUUUUGGCAGAGGGUCCUAAAGUAGUAGUUAUUCUUAGUGUGAGUCCAGAAGAGUUGAUAGAAAGAUGCUUUUUAAAAGAAUGACAACACUUUAUGUAGGUGUUAAAUGAUGGUACUUAGGGUUCAAUUGAGGGAUGGAGAUCUAUGUGUGUUAAAAUUUCAUGUGGCAGAAUCUAAAUGGAAAGAACCAAUGUUCAUUAUUGAUUACUAAAAUGGGAGAGACAACAGUAAUGGGUAAAUCUUGGCUCUAAACAUGGCAGUUGAAGAAACCCUAUAAUAAUAAAGGAAAAAAAACAGAUUUUGGAGAGAUAUACAUCCUAAAUGGGGAGGAAGAGGGGAUGUAGUUGCUGAUGAUGACAUUGGACCAUGGGAGAUAUAAGGGGGUUCAAUGGUUAGAACAUGGUGAUCUCUGAAUCAGCUGUGACAAUAGAAGAAACAAACACCAUUGAGAUGGGUGAAGAUGAAUGCAUGGAUAAGAAUGAAAACAUAUGCAAUUCAUCUGUAUCUGUGAAACCAGCCAGUUAUUCUCAUUCUGAAUAGUUUUGGUGAAAUUCAAAUUUUCUUUAGACAAAUAUGUUCCUCUAAAUUUGAGGAAUCUUUUCGUUGCAUAAUCAAAGUUCAAUUCUUCUUUUUCCCUCAUAUGAGCAAAUUUAAUUUCAUGAUUAAUAAAUUUGUCCACUGUUUGCAUGAGAAAAUUCCGGUAUUCCAUUUCCCCUUUUCUUUAUGGCAUAAAAAAGUUAAUGGUGAAAUUCACUGUUUUCCUUCUCUUGUUCUAACCUUCCUGUGUAACUAGCUCCAUCCCCCUUUCCCUUUCCUUUCGUCUCUCCAUUUCAACAGCCUUUGGCCCCAUUUCAACAGCCUCUCCACACAAGGAGCUCUUAGGGCACUGGGAUUUUGCUGGAAUUCUCCCCAUAAGCACCACAAUCAGCCAGAAUUUGGAAUUGCUCUUGCUGGAAUCAUGUCUUCCAGAAGGCACAUCGCCAUUCCCUGUCCCCAGCCACUGUGCCCCAUUGCCCUCUUACCUCUGGCAUGCUCUGUGCCAACAUCAUGCUUAUUUGGCAGGAGAUUGGCUGUUCCAUUCUCCCAAAACCCCACGUUUUGCUAAAUAUAAAAAGCUUUGUUCUUCUAUUUUUCUCCUUUAAUUAGAAAUAGCAAUCUUCAUUGUAUCUUAAUUAGCAAUUUCUUGCUGUAAGGUCUUGUUAUUAAGUUUGAACCAUGUUCCUGUCUACAUAUCCUAGUACAGUUCAGAAGAUUUGGAUGUCAGGGAUCAGGGGUAUGUUUUUAUUUCAUUGUUAAUGCAAAGAGGUUGCAGAUUAUGGGAAAAAUUUGACAAUUUUUUCAUGCUUAGUAGGCUUACAUCAUGUUUUCCUUCAAGUUCCUUUAAUUGAGUAUCGCCUAUAUGUAGAAUUUUAGUUGUCCACUAGAUGGUUCUGGAGUUUUUUUUCCCCUCUAAUUAGAAUACUUGGUCUUUUGGAGGUGAAUUUGUGCUUCGAGGCUUUUGAAUAGUUUAUUAGAAACAUUUAAUUUGUAUGCUUUCUUGUUGAGAUUCUCUAAUUGAUGCUGUUCCUUUACAAUACUGAAUACUUUUGGUGGGAACUACUUUUGGCCUAGAUAGUUUUUUCUUUCUGGGAUCCAAGUCUUUUGAUAUUGUUAGCUUGUUUGCAUAAUUUAACUCUCUUGUAAAGCGUGCUUAAAUGGGGUAGGUAAAUUUCUUCACAGGUAUCUAGCAGAGUUGCUCGCAGAGCGUCAGAAGCUUAGCCCUUUUACGUCAGUACUGACCCACUGCUAUCGAUUGCUGAACCAGGGUGUGUUUUCAAACAAUAUAUUUUUUUCAACAUUUUGGCAAGAUCUAUUAAAAUGAAUUGUUUUGGUAUUCGCAACUCAUGACUCUUGCGUUUUCUUUUUCUGAUGCCAUGUCCUCCCACAGCUUCCCUAGUCCGACUUAAUAAACUGAAUUUUUCUCCCAUCAUUGUUCUUGUUGUGUGGAAAUAUGGACAUGUUUCAAGCAUAAAGUACAUUGUGUUCUAUAAUCUGAAAAUUGUAAAGGUUCAAUUGCAGUUCAAAGAAUGAUAGCAUGGCCGAUCUGUUCUCCUUAUUAGAUGGUGCUUUCUUGUUUCUAAUUGUAUGAGUGAUUGUCUCUGUAGAAUGUGGCAGAGGGAUCACAUAUUCAACUAAUAUAUAUGAAUGAAAAAGGCAAAUAAUUGAAGUAUCUUGAAUGCACUCAAGAGUUUAUGUUUCAUAAAUUAGAUUAAUAUUUCUUAGUUGAGAAAGGAGUUGCUUAGAGGCUCUAGUGCUGUGAAGAAAUCAGAUAUAGAGGUGUUAUUUGCAUAAAAGAUAUAUAGAUUGUUUUGGGCAGAUAAUGUCCUUAUAAGGCACUGUAUGAACAUUUUUUGCCUUGUCGAUGGUUGCAAGUAAGGUGGUUCAUGUGGUGAAAUUUCUUGUUUAUCCUGAGGCCCAUCUUGGCAUGUGAUCUUGCAUAUGACAAAGAAUGAAAUAUUUGUUGGAUUCAUGCUUGUAGCUGAGCCUGUUGCAAAGGAACUGGAUACCUGACACUUUGAGAUUAUCAGUCAUACCCAGCAUAUACUUAAACAGAAAGAAGUUAAGGUGUUUGCCCCGGUCACUUUGCAACAUUAAAUGUUCAUAAAGAAUUACCUGUGUCAAUAGAACUACGGUAUGCGAUAUAUGCUAUUUUGUGAUUUCUUGUUAAUGCAAUGACCAUGAGGAACUUUAACGCAUAUGAAGAUGUUAGGAAUGGUGCAUCCAGAGUUUGGGUCCUGUGCCUAUUGUGUACUGUGUGAUGAUUUGUAAACAGCUCUCUUAAUCUUGAAAAUGGAGGCCCUGUCAAAACUUCUAUACUGCCACAUUCUGUUGCGAAAUUUUGGCAGUUUGUCUCCUUGCUAUGGAUAAUCCUAGAAAUGGGUAAUGCUGAUAAUAAUGAAUCAGGUAGUUCUAUGGCUAUGAACAUGAUUUUGGGUCUCUUGGAGUCUUAAGGUCGGACAUUGGUUGGGUGAAGGAAAACCAAGCCAUCGAUAAAGGGGUGAAUCUAAAAUAGAAGGCCCUAAGGGGUUCAGUGAUUUUAUAGUGCUAGAUAUAAGGAAGACAGUUUGAUGAAGAAGGGAUGUAAAGUACAUGGAGCUCAGCCAUCAAGCACUAUGUGGGAAACGAUGAUCAAGAAGGCUACAAAUGGGCAAACCAAAGUCAUGAUGUUCAAAUUUUAGAUGGACUCAUCAAAUGUUCAUUCAAUAAUCUUGAAAAUCUGAAAUAGGCGAGGGAUGCUCAAAAACCAUAAAAAAAUUCUGACAUAAUUAAAAAACUAUCAAGAGUUUGUGUGAAAGAUUUAAGAACAAGAAUAGGUGAAAUGGAAUCUUUGACAAAAAAAUGCAACAACCUAGCAAUAUAGCCAGGAAUGUGUACCUUAGGAUGCAUAAUUAACUAAAACAUGAAAUAUUUAGAAAUGUAUGCUUGACUGCAUAUAAAUUGUGUACCUUUCUUUUCUUCUAGUUGUAUAUAUCUUCAAAUAAGUUGCAAGGAGUAAGUUUGGUCUGACUCCAUGGAAAUCAUGAAUCACUAAUAUAGCUAGAACCAUUUCCCUUCACAUAUCUGAAAAUUUGGACUAUAUCAUUAUAAUUACAAAUUAUAUGUUAUAACAUGUAUAUGGUAGGCCAAAACCAAAAUUCGGAUGAUUUCAAUCAUGUAUUAAUGGAUGCAUCUUUAUGGACCAACAACCAAGAAUACAGAAUUUAUGCUCCAAGCAUCAUUUCCCUGAAAUCAGAAUAAGAUAGCUUCAGAACUAAGGGGGCCUGUGCUGGUUUCAUGUCCAAAUAAGGCAGCAAACCUAGUACAUUCUUUAGAGAACUAAAGAAAUAGAAAUUUAGAGCUUCAUCAAAUAAUGGCCUACAAUUGGAUUCUGCAGUGUUUUCGAGGUUGGUGGUAAGGGCCUUGGAAGCAUUGAAGAAUCAUGAUAUCAACAGAUGGUUUUUAAGUACUGACCCUUACUAGCUGGUAUGGCGUAUACUGGCAUUGAUAUAGGGCUCCAUAUGCCCCUGUACUAGCACCUAGUACAAGUGUUAUGCUGACUUCAAUAAUGUACCAUGUGUUGGUACGGCAAUGGCCGUAGUAAUAGGUGGUGCUUGGCGACCCAAGUGGGUCACUAUGGUGAUUUUAGAUCAUUAGUGAUCCUUAUCCUAGAGUAAUUUGAUCCUUGAUGAUCUAAGAUCAACAUGUUUGGUAUGUUAUAUUCUAGUGAUUAAAGAUCUUCGGUUAUCCAUGAGUAACCUAUUUGGUGUGCUAUGGGAAUCCGAGAUCACUUACCAUGUAAUAAUAGCAAAAAUACCCAUGAUAUAUUCCAUAUCUUUUGCAACUACUAAACUGAAUUCUUAAAUAAAUCAUAGGAAAAUACAAAUGAAUGGUUAGUGGUAGAUCGAUGCAAGUUAUAUGUAGAAUUAUUUAGACAGAUGAGUUAUAAUUUUGACAACAAAAUUAUUAAUCCUAUAAAAAUAUAUUAAUUAUUAUCAUAGUAUUAAUUAAUAAUUUCAUUUAUAAUAUAUUAUCAUUUUAUGUUGAUAUUUAUUUUGAUUAGAAAAAUAAGGCGAAUGGAAGUAAUUUAUUAAAUAUUGCAUAACAUAAAUAUAAAGUACAAUAAUGCAUUUCUACUAUAAUUAUAAAAAUGAAUAAUAAUAUAAUUAAUAAUAUAAUAUAUAUCACGAAUACUAUAUAUAUAAUAUCAAUAUAAUAAAAAAUAUUUAAUAUUGAUAUAAAAUAUUAAUGGUAUAUUGAUAUAUCAAUUUUUCUUAUUGGAUUGUGGGGUACUUUUGUCCUUGAAUUUCAGCACAAGAUCGCUACUCAUGAUGAUAUUCAAAACUGGUCCUCAAGGAUGGGUUUAAGACCAUUGAGUUGGGUAGAAAUUUAGGAGUCGGGUGAUUUGGUAUCACUGCUAUGUAGGAUUACUGUGGUGCAACCAAACACAGUGUCCGAUUACCUCCAUCCACAUCAUCCUUGAUCUUAGAGUCAUCACCCCAUAACAAAUGCCCUCAUAAGGUAUUGAUAUGGGCUUUAUGCUAGAACUUAAAAACAUUGAGCGGGAGCAAGCAUUGAUUAGGUUGCAAAUAUGCAAUAUACUAUUCUUUUGGGCAAUAGCCUGUUAUAAAUGAUUGCCAUGGGAACAUCAUCUUCUUUUGUAUAAUAUGUCAGUGCUAGCAUCAUAAAAUUACAAUAUGUAAGAUAUCAAUAUAAAUAUAUACAUUAGUAUCACUAAUAACGCAUUGUUGUGCUAUAGUAAUAUGCUAUUUUUGUGGGCAGUAAUGAGGCUGAGGGUGAGCCUUGGCGCCACAAUAUGAUUUCUCCAUAGUGACCUGGAGGUCACGGGUUCAAAACCACCUCGUUGUAUGCAGGGGUAAGGCUACAUUACAUCUGAUCUUUCCUAGACUCCGCAAUGGCGAGAGCCUAGUACACUGCCUCCCCUUAUGGGCAAUAGCCUGAUAUAAACAAUUGCCGUAGGAAUAUUUUCCUCUCUCAUAUAAUAUGUGAAUGCUGGCAUUGUCAAAUUAUUACAUGUAUGAAAAUAAUGCAAAAAAGCAUGCAAAAAAGCAUACAUCAAUAUCUCUAUCAAUGCAUUAUUCUGCUAUAUUAAUAUUUUGUAACUAUCAAGCUCUCCAACUUAAUUUGAUAAAGAUGUAUCUUCAACAAUGCAUUAUUCUGCUAUACUGAUAUUCUGUAACUAUCAAGAUCCCAAACUUAGUUUAAUAAAGUUUCCUGCAAAAGAUUAUAAAAGGCUGUUUUACCCGAUUUUCUCCAUUAGGUCUUCUUGAUAACAUUUUAUGUUUAAAGAAUACUCUUAUAUAACAGCACGUCAGUAAUCCAUCUGGUAAAACUAAGGAUUAACAUUGCUAACAUGCAAGUGCUAUUGCUCCAGUAUGAGCACACCAUGUUCAACUGCAACUUUCAAGAUGCAGAUUCCGAAGCACUAAAAGACUGCAUGUGAUUCAUAUGAGAUGUGGUGGCGAGGUUAUCUUAUGGUGGAAGGAAUUGGGAACUUUUGUUUUGUUGGAUAUUACUGGGCUUAAUUGGCAAUAGCAAAAAACUGAAUUUCGUACUUUUAUAGCCGCUUCAGGUGUUGGGAUUUUUUUUAAUCUAGUUGUUUUAGAAAACUCAGGAGGAUUUUAUAAUGUUAAUUUUUUUUACUUAUUAUUAUCACAGUUGCUAUAUCUAGAUUUUUGUCAUCUAAUUGAGAAGUCACGCGAUGUUCAAAAUCACGUCACCCUCAAGUGAAAAACAUAAAAAUUCACUGUCAGAUAUUUUUUUUUAUAUAAAAUUAAUAGGCUUGUAACUUCUGCAGAGUGCAAAUUGGUGCUUUUGGUCCUAAAUGUGUUUUCAAAGUUUUUUUCUUUUGCCAUUUUCAUUUACUCUUAGACAGUGCCUUGUCGUUAUAUUAGGAUAAUGAAUGUUUUUCUAAGUCAUAGCAUACAUAGCAUAAGGUUUGUAUGCAUUGGCAAAUAUCUAGUUCACAUAUAUAUGUCGGAUUGUUUUAUUAUGCAAUGGGAUUGAACAGUCUUAGUUGUGCUACUCUUUUUUGUAAUUUAAGGAACAGUUUUAAUAUUAGUUAAUAUAGUGCAUUAUUUCCCAUGCAGCAAUUAAAGCCCUUCCAUUUUUUAAGAAUGGUAUUACAUAUUUCUAUAUACAUGAUAUUUCCUUAUCUAGCAACCUAUUGGAUCUUCAACAAGCGAAAUCUGAGUUUUCAUGACUUUAGUUUUUUUUUUCUUUUUUUUCUUUUUCCAAAAUUGUAAUUACUAUAUAUUUAGACUGAUGUAGUACUGAUUUCUGGGCACCAAUUCAAUUAACCCAUGCCUGUCCAUUUACUGCUAACUAAUUUCUUAACAAAAGCUAACUGGUACAUCUUAUGCCUGGAAUUAAAUUUGUGGAGCAGAAAUUUUGCGUGUAACCACACUGUUGGGGAAUGCCUCUCUUUUAGAUCAAACUGGGCUUGAACAUGGUAGCCCGCUGACCACUGGAGGACUGUUUUCAAAUGGAGGAGCAGCCGAUAUGAAUGGGUGGGCAUCACCAUUUCAACCAGAAGUACGGAUACUAACCGUUAACAUAACUCUUUUUUGCAUCUAAUUUACUGCUCACCAGAAGCGUUUCUGACAUAAUUUCUUGCAAUUCAUGCUAACCUGAAUUAACUGUCUUGAUUGAGCGGUUGCAUUCUUGACUUAGCAUUUACAGUUUGCUGACUUAUAUUAACUAUCUUUUUUUGAGCAUCUGUUCCUUGAUAUAGGUUCUUACAUUCAUUUGAAGUUGAAAGUAAUUCUUGUAAUGUAUCAAAAAAAAAAAAAAAAGAAGUAAUAGUUCUAAGCAUGAUCCUAUGGAAUAGAAUAUUAUUUCUCUUACUGGUUUUGUAACACAAACAUUUAGAACCAGUGAGUCUGUUGACCUGGUGUUAAGCAUAUUUAUCCUUCACCCCUUUUCUUCUGUUACAUUCUCUAACUUAUAUUAUGGCUUCGUGCUGCCUGUCAGAACUGUAUCCCUAAAUGUUAGGUUUGGUUGGCCAUGAAGUGCAGCAGCGUAUGUAGUUACUUUCUGAACUACAGUAGUAGGAUCAAGUUUUGUUAUCUUAGUAUUGGGAUAGCCAAUUGCUUCUCUUUAUAGCCUGAAUUUUUGAUAACUAUGUAGUGGCUAUUUUUGGUCUUCAUUCCUAGUCCUUUUGCAAGGUGAACCUGAGCCUUACCAUAUGUUUUCUAGAAGUAGAAUGCAUCUGAGCCUUUCUUUCUUAUGCACCAGAAUUAAUAUGCUUUGCGAAUAUGAGCUUUUCUGUCAUCUUCUUCUCACGUGAUUUUGAGCUGCAACUGUCUUUUUAACCUUAAUAAUGUAUAGUUAUGUUUGUACAUGCAUAUCCGAUACUUGCACUCAAUCUUGUAGAAGCCAAACAUAUGAAAGACACAUCCUGAUAUGGAUAUAUACUUCUUUUAAAUCUAUUUGUUGUUCUUCAUAUUAUUUUAUGUAACAACACCUUUACUAAAUUGCAGAGGUUAGGAUUGUUACAGCCUUCAUCAGCACAUGGCUGGCUUGGACCACAAGGCAGCUCCUCAGGUCUCAUUGUCAAAAAAACUAUCAGGGUUGAUAUUCCUGUGGACAAAUACCC
rnacentral:lncRNA from 1 species